rnacentral:rRNA from 1 species
CCUACGGGUGGCAGCAGUGAGGAAUAUUGGUCAAUGGACGAGAGUCUGAACCAGCCAAGUAGCGUGAAGGAUGACUGCCCUAUGGGUUGUAAACUUCUUUUAUAAAGGAAUAAAACGAGGCACGUGUGCCUUUUUGCAUGUACUUUAUGAUUAAGGAUCGGCUAACUCCGUGACAGCAGCCGCGGUAAUACGGAGGAUCCGAGCGUUAACCGGAUUGAUUGGGUUUAAAGGGAGCGUAGAUGGGUUGUUAAGUAAGUUGUGAAAGUUUGCGGCUCAACCGUAAGAUUGCAAUUGAUACUGGCAGUCUUGAGUACAGUUGAGGUAGGCGGAAUUCGUGGUGUAGCGGUGAAAUGCUUAGAUAUCACGAAGAACCCCGAUUGCGAAGGCAGCUUACUAAACUGUGACUGACAUUGAUGCUCGAAAGUGUGGGUAGCAAACAGGAGUAGAUACCCCAGUAGUC